UAGCUCAAUGGUAGAGUGCUUGCCUAGCAUGCAUGAAGCCCUGGAUUCCAUCUCCAG
rnacentral:tRNA from 1 species